rnacentral:tRNA from 1 species
GGAGAAAUGGCAGAGCGGUCGAAUGCGGCGGUCUUGAAAACCGUUGUUCCGCUACCGCGGAACCGGGGGUUCGAAUCCCUCUUUCUCCGCCA